AUCCAACAUUCAGCCAAUGAGGUCGAGUCUAUUUUCAUACAACCACACCCGUCUUGUCAGAACCAAUCCGAAAGAGUCUACUCCUGCAGAUCAGAUCACAUAAUUGGACUGUUUCUGUCAGUCUGUCCAAUCAGAGGUUUUACUAUCAUUAAGGAGGACCUCUCAUUGAUGCGUUGCAUGCAGUCUGUCCAGAUCCCACAUGGCAGAGGAAGAGGAGGAAAGGAUGUUCUUUAACGAAAGCAAAGGAGUAAAACAACCAGCACCCACUGAAGUCCAGCUCUCUGGUCUAGCAGCCUGUAUGAGGAAGACACCACGCCUUAGUAGAAGUCUUUCAGGCGAGCUGGAGGCUGAGCUGCUGGGCUGCGACUGCAGAGGAGUGUUAGUUUCAUCAACAGAUGGAGACAGAGAGGGGCUGUCACACACCCUUUCCUAAAAACACAGAGAGAGGAGCGUCACACACCAACAAGGGCAGAAUGGAGAGCAAACGAACUGAAGAUGUUCUCUCCAGAGAGAAAGAAGAUGGUAUUUCCUGUAAUUCAUCACAUGAGCUGAACAAGGCGAGAUAUCAGCUGGUUUAAAGCUCCCACCUUAGACCAGAUUAACAUGACCUGUUCCGUGUGUCGAGUCGGUUCUGUGACAGGUUCCCUGGACUUCAUGACAGAUUUUUAAUCAAACUUUUCACUUUGAUAAAAGAGUGCGAUAAACAUAGCUUUAGCGGAUCUGGUGUUUAUAUAUAGUUUCCAUAAUGGACGGCAGGUUCGUAAUCACUAAAAAAGUUUCAUGGGACCUAUUUUUAAGCUCCUCGUGCAGUUUCAUGACAUCAUGGGCCACUAAACGGACUCACUUUAAACUCAAAUUAACACAAAAUGUCUUAAAUGGGAAAAAAGAAUAAAGGUUUUACUUCAGGAUGUAUUUUUAACGCUGAAUGACGACAAAAAUAGUAAACGGAAAAUUAAAACUAUGCCUCUAGCUAAAGGAAAAGAUAAUAAUUAGUAAAACUUACCUUUAUUUUAAUUUUGUUUGAUUCUAUGAUACAUUUUAGUAAUUAAAUAAAAAAUUAAAUAAAAAAGUUUUAAUACACAGUAAUAACAGUACCCUCCACACUUAAUAGCACUGCGGGAUAAGAAGUGAAAUAAAUACUUUUCUCUGUAUUACAGCCGAAAAAAUCUAUGUUUUUACUUAACAUGUUUUGACUUACUUAAAAAAAGUAACAAUAAGAAGUAGUUUUUAUUUUCUUUAAAUCACGGUGGAGAAACUUGCCCAUAUCUACUGUCAGAGCAGUUGUUUAAAAGAAGCGGGACAAAAGAAACAGCAGUGAUCAGGACGGUAAGGAAGGUAAAAUAAUCUCUAUAAUUUAGUGAGGUCAGGCGCUUUAAUCACGCAAAGGUCUAAAUGUGAAUAAUCUCUAAUCAUCUAAAUUCAUGCAGUAAAUGCCCUCUUUGGCCCCUCCUGAGUUAGAUUAUUAAUUUGUUGUUCUUUAGGUUCUCGUUGGUCCAAUUCCUCAAAUUAUCUGUUUUAUUUUGUAGAAACUCUCUAAACUGCUAAGUUCAACUUCUCCCUUUGUUUUACUAUGAAACCAACCGACUCUUAACUCUGUAGGACAAAGCGUCUCAGUUCUUGAUUUAUAAACAUUCAUUCAGAUUUUCUUUACAAACCAGCUGUAUUUUCCCAGGUGUACAUCCAAAGGUUAAAAUCACUGCAAGUACCGUAAAGAACCUGCUGUGAAUACAAGAAAACAUGUAAUGGCAAUAAAACUCUAAUAACCGAC